rnacentral:rRNA from 1 species
UUAAUGGAGAGUUUGAUCCUGGCUCAGAACGAACGCUGGCGGCGUGCCUCAUACAUGCAAGUCGUGCGUGAAACCUCUGUAGCAAUACGGAGGCGUAAAGCGGCGAACGGGUGAGUAACACGUGGGCAAUUUGCCUCGAAGCUGGGGAUAAGCCCUCGAAAGGGGGUCUAAUACCGAAUAACAUCCUGGGAUGGCAUCAUUCCGGGAUCAAAGGUUCGCAAGAAUCGCUUUGAGAUGAGCCCGCGGUCCAUUAGCUUGUUGGUGAGAUAAAAGCCCACCAAGGCUAUGAUGGAUAGCCGACCUGAGAGGGUGUUCGGCCACACUGGGACUGAGAUACGGCCCAGACUCCUACGGGAGGCAGCAGUAGGGAAUAUUGCGCAAUGGGCAAAUGCCUGACGCAGCGACGCCGCGUGGAGGAUGAAGUUUUUCGGAAUGUAAACUCCUGUCAGUGGGGAAGAAUAUCCCCGAUUAUAUCGGGGACUGACGGUACCCACAGAGGAAGCUCCGGCUAACUCCGUGCCAGCAGCCGCGGUAAUACGGGGGGAGCAAGCGUUGUUCGGAAUCACUGGGCGUAAAGAGCGUGUAGGCGGGCAGACAAGUCAGACGUGAAAUUUUUCCGCUUAACGGAGAAACUGCGUUUGAAACUAUCUGUCUUGAGUACGGGAGAGGAAAGUGGAAUUCCUGGUGUAGCGGUGAAAUGCGUAGAUAUCAGGAGGAACACCUGUGGCGAAGGCGGCUUUCUAGCCCGAUACUGACGCUGUGGCGCGAAGGCUAGGGUAGCAAACAGAAUUAGAUACUCUGGUAGUCCUAGCGGUAAACGUUGGGCACUAGGUGUUGUUUCUUUAAAGGAGCAGUGCCGAAGCUAAUGCAUUAAGUGCCCCGCCUGGGGAGUACGACCGCAAGGUUGAAACUCAAAGGAAUUGACGGGGGCCCGCACAAGCGGUGGAGUAUGUGGUUUAAUUCGACGCAACGCGAAGAACCUUACCUGGGUUUGACAUCCUGAUGCAAGCCCAAGAGAUUGGGUCCCCCCGCAAGGGGCGUCAGGACAGGUGCUGCAUGGCUGUCGUCAGCUCGUGUCGUGAGAUGUUGGGUUAAGUCCCGCAACGAGCGCAACCCUUGUCCUGUGUUGCUAACCGAAAGGUGCAC